rnacentral:lncRNA from 1 species
UUUACAUGCAUUGACUUCUCAGAAUAGGUAUUUCACUUACAGUGUUCAAAAAAAUAAAAUAAGCUAAGCAUAGUGUCACAUGCUUAUAAUUCCAGCUACUCAAGAGGCUGAGGCAAGAGUAUUGCAAAUUCAAGGCCAGCCAGCCUGGUGCAGAGUCUUAAAAUAAAAAAUAAAAAGGACUAGGGAUCUAGUACAUUUAUAUAUCUAACAUAUCAAUCUUUGUGGUGCACGCCUGUAAUCCCAGGAACUCAGGAUGCUGCGGCAGGAAGAUUGCCAGUUCGAGGCCAGGCUCAGUAACUUAGUGAGGCCCUAAGCAACUUAGUGAGACCCUGAUUCAAAAUAAAAAAACAAAAUGGACUUGGGAUGUAACUCAAUGGUUAUACACGCCUGGAUUUAAUCCCCAGUGCAGUUUUUCAAAAUUUUAGAGGCUAUAAGUCUGAAGUCUGAAAUAAGUGUCACUAGGCUGAAACCAGGCUGCGGGCAGAGGUGUGCUGGGCUAUGUCAGUAAAGCCAUGCUCUAUCCAGAACUGUAGGGAAGAAUUCAUUUGUUGUCUCUAUCAGUUUCUGGGGACUGCUGACUUACAGUACUUGACUUGCAACUGCAAUACUCUUCUCCAUGGUCACAAUACUGCCUCCUCUGCCACUUGUCAAAGCUUUUCUCUUUGUCAAAAGGACACCUGUGCUUAGCUCAGUGAAGCACUCCUGGGAUUCCAGUGAUCCGGGAGGCUGAGGCAGGAGGAUCACAAGUUCCAGGCCAGUUUUAGUAAUUUAUCAAGACCCUCCUAACUUAGGGAGACCCUGUGUCAAAAUAAAAAGAAUUGAGGAUGUAGCUUAGUGAUAGAGAACUCUUGGGUUCAAUCCCCAGUACCACAAAACAAACCAAAAAAAGAAAAAGAAAGAAAAGGAUCAGGAUCAGGUGUCCUUUUUUUUUUUAUACAGGCAGUUGAACCCAGGAGCACUCUACAUCUCCAGUCCUUUUAUUUUUUAUUUUGACACAGGGAUUCCCUAAGUUAAUGAGGCCCUAAAUGAGACCCUGACACAGGGUCUCAAUAAAUUACUUAGUUAAUGAGACCCUGACACAGGGUCUCAAUAAAUUACUUAGGCUGGCCUGGAACUUGUGAUCCACAUCCUCCCAAAGUCAGCCUCAGCAACUUAGUG